rnacentral:miRNA from 1 species
UCACCGGGAGUAUUGCGUGAUC